GUGUAGUCCUGACUGUCCUAGAACUGCC
rnacentral:piRNA from 1 species